GGACCGCUGGCGCAACGGUAGCGCGUUCGCCUCCAGAGCGAAAGGUGUACGUACAAACAAAUUCGCACAUCUUUACUUUCAUCUAAUAAUUAUAAUAGUAUCCGUUCAAAUCGGGUGUGGUUCA